rnacentral:tRNA from 1 species
UGGCGGCGUAGCUCAGCUGGCGAGAGCGUACGGUUCAUACCCGUAAGGUCGUGGGUUCGAUCCCCUCCGCCGCUAUC